UUUUUGUCGUAUAAUUAGUUUUUUUUUUUCUUUAAAGAGAAACGUCUAUAUAAUGGUUUAGCUGUUUCUUAUGGACUUUAAUAAAUCAGAACUAGCAAGCAAUCAUCAUGAAUUCUUAGAAGUGGUUCAAUAUUAAAAAAAAAAAAAUUUUGUAACGGCAGACCUGGCUAUUUGGUUUGAUAUUUAUUAGUAUAACAUAUCUAUAUAUUUAUUAAAAUGUAACGAAAAGUAUUUCACUAUUUCUUAAAAAACAUAUUUUUUUUUUCAAAUUUAAUACAACCAACUUCCUUUUUGUUGUGGGGGUUGUUGGCCUAAUUCAAUGCUUGUUUUUCUCUGUUAUUUCUUCUUCACCCUCUUUGUAUUUAUAUCUCCUUCACUCUGCAAACCCAAGAAAAAAUAUUGAUUUAGCUCAUGUUGUCUCUUUCUUAUCUUCAUAUCUGCCAAAAAAAAAAAAAAACACUGUGAUUUCUAAACUGGUUUAACGGUAAGUACCUGUCUCUCGUAACAUACCUAUCAAUUUGUUCCAAUCAUUUACUUGCUUUGAUUUCUUUUUCGAUCUCUUUUCUUUUGUUUUCUUUCUUUUUAUGUGGGUGAGUUUGGGAUAAUAAGCAACUGAAGAGUCGAUGAGCGCAUUAUCGGACAUCGAAUACGAGAUAUUGGUGCGGUUCAAUCAGAAAACUGUACUCUUUUGUUUUAAAGAUCGGUUUGUUUGAUUGAGCCGUGCCAAUAUCACGUGUUUAAAUAGUUUAAAGAUUAUAUGUUACUAAUUAAUUGAUGUGAUCAAUCAAGGCUCUGAAUUUCGGAUAUUAACAAGAAAAAGGACAAAGGAAAAAAAUUUCAUAUACAUUUGUGAGAAGAUCGUUUAGCGACAAUGAUACAUUUUUUUCCUUUUUUUUUUUACAGAUGAUUUAUGUCACCCAUUAAUGUAAAGAUGUCUGACUAAUGAAUUCAAAAUAUUGUGUAUUUUUCUGAACUUUAAUUUGUUUAUAUUUAUAUUC